rnacentral:rRNA from 1 species
UUGUACAAGUGAACUGCUGGUCAGAGUCUUUGAUCGUAUGGUGAUUCAUAUGUAUAUAGGAUUCGAACUCAGUAUUUGUUUUAACUUACCCGUCGAGUGUUUCAUAUGGUUAUUUUUUUUUAGCUGUGUGGGGCAGAGGGAUCCUUCUCUAAGAAGUUGAUUUCGAUGGGGCGCCGAUGCGAUUCGACCCGUCUUGAAACACGGACCAAGGAGUCUAGCGUAGCUGCAAGUCAAAGGGUGGCAAAACCCCAGGGCGCAGUGAAAGCAAUCUUUAAAACGUUGCAGUUUGAGGCGGCACUACGAUUUUUAUAUAGUAAGUCCGACCUAGAGCAGUUACGCUGGUACCCGAAAGAUGGUGAACUAUGCCGGAGUAGGGCGAAGCCAGAGGAAACUCUGGUGGAGGCUCGUAGCGGUGCUGACGUGCAAAUCGCUCGUCUAACUCGGGUAUAGGGGCGGAAGACUAAUCGAACCAUCUAGUAGCUGGUUUCCUCCGAAGUUUCUCUCAGGAUAGCAGGGCGGCAAGUUGUUUCGUGUGGUAAAGCGAAUGAUUAGCGUAUUUUUGGGGGCUAAUUGCCUUCAGACGAUUCUCAAACUUUAAAUACGCGCGGAUGCUGCUGCAUUGUACGAGCAGUAUUCUAACAAAAACGCCGCCCUUGUGGGCCACUUUUGGUAAGCAGAACUGGCGAUACGGGAUGAACCGUAAGCUUUGGUUAAGGCGCCCAAUUGCUCGCUUAAAGAACCCAAAAAAGGUGUUGAUUCAUAUAGACAGCAGGACGGUGGCCAUGGAAGUUGGAAUCCGCUAAGGAGUGUGUAACAACUCACCUGCCGAAUGAAUUAGCCCUGAAAAUGGAUGGCGCUUAAGCGGCCAGCCGACACCAAGCCGUCUGUACAAAGUGAGUACCAGAUGAGUAGGAGGACGUGGCGGUCGUAUUGAAGCGUACUUGCAAAAGUGCGUGGAACGGCCGCUAGUGCAGAUCUUGGUGGUAGUAGCAAAUAUUCAAAAGAGAACCUUGAAGGGUGACGCGGGGAAGGGUUCCACGCGAACAUUGAUUGGGUGUGGGUUAGUCGUUCCUAAGCCAAGUGGCAAUAGCUAAUUAUUGGCGAAAGGGAAGCAAGUUGAUAUUCUUGCACACGGAUGUGGAUGCGGUGACGCACGUCUGAGGCGAUGACGUCGGCGAUGGAGCUGGGCAGAGUUUUCUUUUCUGUUUAACCAUACCAUAUGCUCUGUGGAAUCCGCUUGUCGGGAGAAACAGGCAUAUUGGGCAAUAGCGCCGGGAAUUAUCCGGCGUCCAGCUCUCCAUCGACGGCCCUUGAAAAAUCGUCUGCUGGCCAAACUUAAUUGUUUGGUGUGAAAAUUCCACGCCGUAACGUACCGAUAACCGCAUCAGGUCCCCAAGGUGAA